CUACUCCUGAGCAGAGGCAAGAUGGACAAUGGGAUAUAUCUACACGAGCUCUGACUUGCUAGGAGUAGAUUGGAGAGGUUAACCCCUUCCCAGUCCCGCCCCCGGCGCGGCUCGGGUUACUAAACGCAUUCCCAGAGACCCAGGCGGGAGCGGGAGCGGAGCCCACGGCCUUUGUAACGGUGCGCAGAGCUGCCAGGAGCAGGACUGGGAUGCUAAGCAGACCAUCUCCUCCGAUCCUGUCACCCGCAGACGCGAUGGUGUCCUAUAAACACUGAAAUUUAUAAACUACCCUGGACCUUA